UACGUAGGGGGCUAGCGUUGUCCGGAAUCAUUGGGCGUAAAGCGCGCGUAGGCGGCCCGGUAAGUCCGCUGUAAAAGUCAAAGGCUCAACCUUUGAAUGUCAGUGGAUACUGCCAGGCUAGAGUCCGGAAGAGGCGAGUGGAACUCCUGGUGUAGCGGUGGAAUGUGCAGAUAUCAGGAAGAACACCGACGGCGAAGGCAGCUCGCUGGGACGGUACUGACGCUGAGGCGCGAAAGCGUGGGGAGCGAACAGG
rnacentral:rRNA from 1 species